GACGAACGCUGGCGGCGCGCUUAACACAUGCAAGUCGAACGGAUAGGCCCUGCUUUUGUGGGGUGCUCGAGUGGCGAACGGGUGAGUAACACGUGAGUAACCUGCCCUUGACUUUGGGAUAACUUCAGGAAACUGGGGCUAAUACCGGAUAGGAGCUCCUGCUGCAUGGUGGGGGUUGGAAAGUUUCGGCGGUUGGGGAUGGACUCGCGGCUUAUCAGCUUGUUGGUGGGGUAGUGGCUUACCAAGGCUUUGACGGGUAGCCGGCCUGAGAGGGUGACCGGCCACAUUGGGACUGAGAUACGGCCCAGACUCCUACGGGAGGCAGCAGUGGGGAAUAUUGCACAAUGGGCGGAAGCCUGAUGCAGCAACGCCGCGUGCGGGAUGACGGCCUUCGGGUUGUAAACCGCUUUCGCCUGUGACGAAGCGUGAGUGACGGUAAUGGGUAAAGAAGCACCGGCUAACUACGUG
rnacentral:rRNA from 1 species